GACGAACGCUGGCGGCAUGCCUAAUACAUGCAAGUCGAGCGAACAGAUGAGGAGCUUGCUUCUCUGAUGUUAGCGGCGGAUGGGUGAGUAACACGUGGGCAACCUGCCCUACAGAUGGGGAUAACUCCGGGAAACCGGGGCUAAUACCGAAUAAACAGUUUGUUCGCAUGAACAAACUCUGAAAGACGGUUUCGGCUGUCACUGUAGGAUGGGCCCGCGGCGCAUUUAGCUAGUUGGUGGGAUAAUGGCCUACCAAGGCAACGAUGCGUAGCCGACCUGAGAGGGUGAUCGGCCACACUGGGACUGAGACACGGCCCAGACUCCUACGGGUGGCAG
rnacentral:rRNA from 1 species